rnacentral:rRNA from 1 species
AGAGUUUGAUCCUGGCUCAGGAUGAACGCUAGCUACAGGCUUAACACAUGCAAGUCGAGGGGAAACGAUAUUGGAAGCUUGCUUCCGAUAGGCGUCGACCGGCGCACGGGUGAGUAACGCGUAUCCAACCUGCCCACCACUUGGGGAUAACCUUGCGAAAGUAAGACUAAUACCCAAUGAUAUCUCUAGAAGACAUCUGAAAGAGAUUAAAGAUUUAUCGGUGAUGGAUGGGGAUGCGUCUGAUUAGCUUGUUGGCGGGGUAACGGCCCACCAAGGCAACGAUCAGUAGGGGUUCUGAGAGGAAGGUCCCCCACAUUGGAACUGAGACACGGUCCAAACUCCUACGGGAGGCAGCAGUGAGGAAUAUUGGUCAAUGGACGAGAGUCUGAACCAGCCAAGUAGCGUGCAGGAAGACGGCCCUAUGGGUUGUAAACUGCUUUUAUAAGGGAAUAAAGUGAGAGUCGUGACUCUUUUUGCAUGUACCUUAUGAAUAAGGACCGGCUAAUUCCGUGCCAGCAGCCGCGGUAAUACGGAAGGUCCGGGCGUUAUCCGGAUUUAUUGGGUUUAAAGGGAGCGUAGGCCGGAGAUUAAGCGUGUUGUGAAAUGUAGACGCUCAACGUCUGCACUGCAGCGCGAACUGGUUUCCUUGAGUACGCACAAAGUGGGCGGAAUUCGUGGUGUAGCGGUGAAAUGCUUAGAUAUCACGAAGAACUCCGAUUGCGAAGGCAGCUCACUGGAGCGCAACUGACGCUGAAGCUCGAAAGUGCGGGUAUCGAACAGGAUUAGAUACCCUGGUAGUCCGCACGGUAAACGAUGGAUGCCCGCUGUUGGUCUGAAUAGGUCAGCGGCCAAGCGAAAGCAUUAAGCAUCCCACCUGGGGAGUACGCCGGCAACGGUGAAACUCAAAGGAAUUGACGGGGGCCCGCACAAGCGGAGGAACAUGUGGUUUAAUUCGAUGAUACGCGAGGAACCUUACCCGGGCUUGAAUUGCAGAGGAAGGAUUUGGAGACAAUGACGCCCUUCGGGGCCUCUGUGAAGGUGCUGCAUGGUUGUCGUCAGCUCGUGCCGUGAGGUGUCGGCUUAAGUGCCAUAACGAGCGCAACCCCUCUCCUUAGUUGCCAUCAGGUUAAGCUGGGCACUCUGGGGACACUGCCACCGUAAGGUGUGAGGAAGGUGGGGAUGACGUCAAAUCAGCACGGCCCUUACGUCCGGGGCUACACACGUG